rnacentral:rRNA from 1 species
GCAUCCAGUUGCCAUCGGGCGAGCCGGGCACUCUGGAGGGACUGCCGGCGACAAGCCGGAGGAAGGUGGGGAGUGACGUCAAGUCAUCAUGGCCCUUAUGUCCAGGGCGACACACGUGCUACAAUGGCCGGCACAGCGGGAAACGGAGGGGCGACCCUGAGCGGAUCCCUUGAAAGCCGGUCCCAGUUCGGAUUGCAGUCUGCAACUCGACUGCAUGAAGUUGGAAUCGCUAGUAAUCGCGGAUCAGCCAAGCCGCGGUGAAUACGUUCCCGGGCCUU